CUAGAAUGUUCUGUUUAAUUAUCUAGCUGUUGAGCUUGGAUGGGUCCUUUAACCCCUCAGAGUUUCAGUUUUCUUAUUUAGUAAAAUGGGUAUAAUAUAAGGUGCAUCUUGCAGGGAAGAUGAAAAGACAGGUCUGGACAGUGGCUGAGGCAGCGGGGGAUCUGUUCCUGGAUAAGUGUUCACUGCAGGGAAGCAGGUGCUGGGAGUGAAAACCAAGCCCUGGGUUAGAAUCCCAUUUCUCCCACUUGCUCUUUCUUUGGCCUUUGGUAACCUCUCUUCCCUCUCAGAGCCUCGCUUUUCUCAUCAAUGAUGUUGGGAAUCCCAGCAUCCUUCUUGCAAAGCUUUGCCGGCCCGAAGAGGUUCCCAGGCUAGGGAUCUAAUCGGAGCUGUUGCUGCCGGCCUACACCAGAGCCACAGCCACACCAGAUCUGAGCUGUGUCUGCAACCUAUACCACAGCUCACGGCAAUGCCGGAUCCUUAACUCACUGAGCGAGGCCAGGGAUCAAACCCGCAACCUCAUGGUUCCUAGUCAGAUUCUUUUCUGCUGCGCCACGACGGUAACUCCAGAGGAAACUUUAAAAAGGUACCACCCUCCGGGCUUUGUACUCCAGCCUAGUGGAACUGAAGUCUUUGGGGGAGGAGGCUGGGAUCACUUUUUUAAAGUAUCCCCUGGGCUAAGAGGGAGGGCCCAUGGCUGACCUAAAGAGCAGGAACCAGAGAAGACAGCUAUUUCAUGGGCCCCACAUCAGCGCAAGGAGAUCAGAGAAGAAAUGUGAAUCCAACCUGGCCUUUUCAAUUUGUCCAUUCAGCUUACUGUGCUGGGCAGGUGCAUGAACAGGUAACUCUCAUCCUUCUUGUCGUGCAUCCCACUUCUUCACUUGGUGGCUGACUCGCUGGCUCAGCUUCCAAAGUGCAUCAUGAAGUUGGGUUAUCACAUGAGCCUUUCCUGUGCCUAAGGGUCCCUCGUGUCUGUGUUAUUAUGACUGAUUGGUGGGGGGGCACACCUGCAGCGUAUGGAAGUUCCUGGGCUGGGGGUCAAAUUACAGCUGCAGCUGCCCAUCUACACCACAGCCACAUCAACGCCAGAUAUGAGCUGUGUCUGCAACUUAUACCGCAGCUCAUGGCAAUGCUGGAUCCUUAGCCCAUUGAAUGGGGCCAGGGAUCCAUCCUUUGUCCUCAUGGAUACCAGCUGGGCGCAUUACUGCUGAGCCAUGACGGGAACUCCACCACCGAUGUUCUAAAACUACCCCACAACUUCCCCCUUGCUGAGGAGGUGGCAGGAUGGGGUGAUGCAGCCAGCCAGAUCAGUAAGGAAGGGCUUGACCAGCCCACAGCCCAGGAUGGAGCAGCACACUGGCCCCUCGGCCACUCAGGUCAAACCUGGAAAUAGGAGCAUGACUUACUCACUUUGAUUUUUGAGCAGUUGAACAGAGGGCUUUCUUAAAUUCCUCGGAUCUCCCUCUGGAGAUGACCCCAAGCUUUACUGAGCUGUGAAUCACUGCUCAACACCUUUUUCUUUCUCUGCCUCCUUGGCAGUCUUGGAAGGACCUGAUUCAUUUCUUAGUUUUGACCCAGUGGACCAUAAAAAUGGGAAAAUCAAGGAUUUCUUAAAGCUGAGUUAAUCAUUGGUUACUUUGUGACACAAACUUUGACGUGAUGGAUUAACUAGUUGGGGAGAAUGGGUGGUUUUUAAAGCAUUUAAGCUGUAGCAUCUGCACUGAAUGAACUUGGGUUUAAUCAUGACCUCUGAGAGAAAGAAGGGCCCUGGACAUCAUUUGAUCUUAGCAUAUAGAAGAGGACACCUCAAGGGCUGGCAGAGGGAAGCCAUCAGCCUGAGUGUCAGGCUUGGUUGACCUGGGAACCAGAGGCUCGUUCCCAGAGUCCAGAAUCCUACCGUCUCUAUUACAGGCUUCUGGAAGUCACUGAGGAUCUGUGAACCACUUGUUUCUGCAUCUUCCAAUGAGAGGAGAGAUUCUCUAGCUUUCGUCCUGUUCUCAAAGUGGUCUU
rnacentral:lncRNA from 1 species